UACAGAGGUCCCGAGCGUUGUUCGGAUUCAUUGGGCGUAAAGGGUGCGUAGGCGGUUUUGAAAGUCAGGUGUGAAACCUCCAGCUCAACCUGGAGACGCCACUUGAUACUUCAAUGACUUGAGUUCGGUAGGGGUAAGCGGAAUUCCUGGUGUAGGCGGUGGAAAUGACGUAGAUAUCUGGAGGAACACCGGUGGCGAAGGCGGCAUCCUGGACCGGUAUUGACGCUGAGGCGCGAAAGCCAGGGGAGCAAACGGG
rnacentral:rRNA from 1 species